GCUGGGAUUUCAGGAUCAGUCAGGGAAUCGCGCUCUGCUCCAGCAUCCCGCCCUCCCCGAGCGGGAACAGCGGCGGGAUUUCAGGAUCAGUCAGGGAAUCGCGCACUGCUCCAGCAUCCCGCCCUCCCCGAGCGAUCAGAGCUGGGAUUUCAGGAUCAGUCAGGGAAUCGCGCUCUGCUCCAGCAUCCCGCCCUCCCUGGGCCAACAGCGCUGGGAUUUCAGGGAUCGGUCAGGGAAUCGCGCUCUGCUCCAGCAUCCCGCCCUCAAAGAGCGAUCAGAGCUGGGAUUUCAGGGAUGGGUCAGGGAAUCGCGCUCUGCUCCAGCAUCCCACCCUCAAAGAGCCAUCAGAGCCGGGAUUUCAGGACCAGCCCCGGGCACGGCGCUCCCAGGCCGGGCUCUCAUUGAGAAUUGUUUUGCCCGCACGGCGCUGGCUCCACCCCGGCCGCGCUCAUUGGCUCGGGGUUAUUUUGGCAGCCGGACUCUGCCCUGCCCUGCGGAGAUUUUAGGGAGCUGCCCAACCUCCCGAUGCUGCUCCCCGGCUAUGGGAGGGAUGGGAGAGCGAUAAGAGCGGCGAUAAAGGCUAAAAGGGAACAAAAACAAAGGGAUUCUGUUCCGCAGGAACAAAGCACGCGGGAAUUCCUGCUCCAUGGAAAGGCUCCACCGUCCUGGGAUGCAGAGCCAAAGUGCCCAACCUCUGCCAAAUCGAAGGAUGGGGGAGCUGGCAGCUCCCUGCCAAUUCCAGUAAAUUUUAGAGUCUAUGCAUUUAAAACAGAAAAAAACCCCAGGAAUGUUAUCUCCUUAUAAACACCAUAAAAGCAAGUUCUACUUUUCCAAGGAUAAAAUGCAACAUUCAGGAAAAGAAGUUAUAGACCAAGAGUGUAAGAGCACAAUAACUCCCUGAGGGAUUUUUUAAAAUAAGGUGACCAAAAGUGCAAAUACAAGAAAUGUUUUUAAAGGAGGAAGACUCAGGGAGAGCACACAAGGAAAGUACUCUGGUUGCACCAUGCAGGCAUCAAUCACAGCAAAUCCCUGCCCAGCGGGUUUUCCAUCAAAUAUCCCAAAACUCUUGCCAGGAACACCAGCGUGCCUUCCUCAGCUUCCAGCAAAGCC
rnacentral:lncRNA from 1 species